rnacentral:rRNA from 1 species
AUGAACGCUAGCGACAGGCUUAACACAUGCAAGUCGAGGGGUAACAGGGUAGCAAUACCGCUGACGACCGGCGCACGGGUGAGUAACGCGUAUGCGACCUGACCUAUAACUGGGGGAAUAGCUCCCUGAAAGGGGAAUUAACACCGCAUAACACUAUUGAUUCGCAUGGAUUGGUAGUUAAAUGUAGCGAUACAGGUUAUAGAUGGGCAUGCGUGACAUUAGCUAGUUGGUGAGGUAACGGCUCACCAAGGCUACGAUGUCUAGGGGUUCUGAGAGGAAGGUCCCCACACUGGUACUGAGACACGGACCAGACUCCUACGGGAGGCAGCAGUGAGGAAUAUUGGUCAAUGGGCGCAAGCCUGAACCAGCCAUGUCGCGUGCAGGAAGACUGCCCCUAUGGGUUGUAAACUGCUUUUAUAGUAGAAGAAACACAUCUACGCGUAGAUGUCUGCCAGUAUACUAUGAAUAAGCAUCGGCUAACUCCGUGCCAGCAGCAGC